rnacentral:rRNA from 1 species
AUGUUGUACACAUGUCACAAAGCAAGCAUAGGUACAUGCCAGGCGUACAGGCUCCUUCAAGUCAGCGAAGGUGGGUUUCCGUAUGUUGGAUGCAGCAAGAGGGACCUGCAAAACUACUACCGUGACCUCAGGCUUAAAAUUAGGAACGGCGAUGCUCAAAUGUUUGUCGCUCAGCUAGCUAGAAAGCAAGAAGUCAAUCCAGCUUUCUUCUAUGAUUUUGUUGUUGAGAAAGAGGGGAACUUAAUGUAUGUUUUCUGGGCAGAUGCCAUGAGUAGGAAAAACUAUAGUCACUUUGGGGGUGAUGGUGUGGUAUCUUUCGAUUCUACUUACACCACUAAUCAAUACGACAUGAUCUUUGCACCAUUUACAGGGGUCAAUCAUCACUUACAGAGUGUGUUUUUUGGUGCAGCAUUCUUGUGCAAUGAGCAGACUGAGUCAUAUGUUUGGUUAUUUGAGACCUUCCUUACAGCAAUGGGAGGGGUAGCACCUAGACUCAUUAUA